UCCUGGAUAGCUCAGUUGGUAAAGAAUCUGCCUACAAUGCAGAUUCAAUUCCUGGUCCAAUUCCUGGGUCGGGAA
rnacentral:tRNA from 1 species